rnacentral:rRNA from 1 species
GACGAACGCUGGCGGCGUGCCUAAUACAUGCAAGUUGAGCGCUGAAGGUUGGUACUUGUACCAACUGGAUGAGCAGCGAACGGGUGAGUAACGCGUGGGGAAUCUGCCUUUGAGCGGGGGACAACAUUUGGAAACGAAUGCUAAUACCGCAUAAAAACUUUAAACACAAGUUUUAAGUUUGAAAGAUGCAAUUGCAUCACUCAAAGAUGAUCCCGCGUUGUAUUAGCUAGUUGGUGAGGUAAAGGCUCACCAAGGCGAUGAUACAUAGCCGACCUGAGAGGGUGAGCGGCCAAAUGGGGACUGAGACACGGCCCAAACUCCUACGGGAGGCAGCAGUAGGGAAGCUUCGGCAAUGGACGAAAGUCUGACCGAGCAACGCCGCGUGAGUGAAGGAGGUUUUCGGAUCGUAAAACUCUGUUGGUAGAGAAGAACGUUGGUGGGAGUGGAAAGCUCAUCAAGUGACGGUAACUACCCAGAAAGGGACGGCUAACUACGUG